AUUUUGCUUUUAUCUCGAAUCUUAAAUAACAAAUUGAGGUCAUUAUGUUUGGGGCAACGAAUGAAACUUGCUUGUAUAAACUAAUUUCUCAUUGAAACAAGCAUCAUCAGAAACAAAACUCUUCUCUACCAAUAUGAUUUUACACUGGAUGCUUAAUAAAUCACGGACCUCAUUAAUUGGCACUUGAAGAAUGAAGUUUAUCCAAAAAUAUCUGCUGUGCAGUGUGAAAUAUCCUGUAGUUUAUUCUUUGAAAUCUAAACGAAAAUACUUGACUGUUGGACUUCUUCCAGUGAGCACGUCCAUGAAACUAUUUUUUCGAACUUCAGGAUCAAAUUCAAACCAAAUUUCAAAUAUCCAGGGCUCAUCUGGCAUAGAGGGCAUCACCACACAUGCCAAAGAAAGCAUAGGACAUAGUUUGUCAACAGUGCAAAAUAAUGAAAAUGAAAAAUGUAGUUUACAAGCUGUGCCACAAGGAGAGAUGAACAUCAACUUUCAAGAAAAAGCUGUCGCUUAUGCACUGACUGUGAAUGAAGCUUUACUCAAUCACAAGCAAAUUGAAAUCCAUAGAGCUCACCUGAACGCCCUCCAGAAAGGAGAAAGCUUUUACAAAGACCCCAUUACAGGGUAUCAGGUUAUGUCUCGCUUGGCUCAUUUGAGGCGUGGUGACUGCUGUGGCAAUGCAUGCAGACAUUGUCCUUAUGGCCAGAGGAAUGCUCCUAGUCAUCGCCUCAAAAAACACAAUUCAGCCUUUUAUGAAUGAAGAGGAUAAAGCUGCUGUGUAGAGUAUAUUUAUUAAAAAAUGUGGUGUGUUGGAGGUCACAAGUCUCAUGA